UAGGGAAUCUUCGGCAAUGGGGGGAACCCUGACCGAGCAACGCCGCGUGAGUGAAGAAGGUUUUCGGAUCGUAAAGCUCUGUUGUUAAGGAAGAACGAGUGUGAGAAUGGAAAGUUCAUGCUGUGACGGUACUUAACCAGAAAGGGACGGCUAACUACGUGCCAGCAGCCGCGGUAAUACGUAGGUCCCGAGCGUUGUCCGGAAUUAUUGGGCGUAAAGCGCGCGCAGGUGGUUUAGAAAGUCUGAUGUGAAAGCCCACGGCUCAACCGUGGAGGGUCAUUGGAAACUAAUAAACUUGAGUGCAGGAGAGAAAAGUGGAAUUCCCAGUGUAGCGGUGAAAUGCGUAGAUAUUGGGAGGAACACCAGUAGCGAAGGCGGCUUUCUGGACUGCAACUGACACUGAGGCACGAAAGCGUGGGUAGCAAACAGG
rnacentral:rRNA from 1 species